GGCUGGGCACAACUGCCUGAGGGAAAAGAGACAUUAAAAAGACAGGGUGUGGGAACAACUGAUGCGCACAUGCAAGAGAAUGGGGUCCUGCCUCGCGCCGUAUACAUAAAGGUAAUUCAAGAUGGCUCACAGACCUAAAACUGUGACGCUUGGAAAGGAACGGCUGUAAGAGGAAGAUAUCCACGCCGUUCUCACAAGUGAUUCCUGUUAGCUCAGCACCUGCCUAGGGCCUUGUUUAAGGAUAAACCUGAGGACGUCCAGUCCAGCGUUGACAGGUUUAACAGAAGCAGGCCUUUGAAAGGAUGCAAGGCCGGUGAAGGUGUUGUGAAAAUAGGAGUCUGAUGAAAGGAUCGGAUGGGAUCGUGGUGGCCGAGGACGUCUCAAGGGCCCAGCCACAGCAGGAGGAGAAAGACCAGCCACAUGGCUUCAGGCUCAGCAGAAGUGCCUCAGGGUUCAAGGCCC